rnacentral:rRNA from 1 species
UACGUAGGUGGCGAGCGUUAUCCGGAAUUAUUGGGCGUAAAGAGCGCGCAGGUGGUUGAUUAAGUCUGAUGUGAAAGCCCACGGCUUAACCGUGGAGGGUCAUUGGAAACUGGUAGACUUGAGUGCAGAAGAGGGAAGUGGAAUUCCAUGUGUAGCGGUGAAAUGCGUAGAUAUUAGGAGGAACACCAGUAGCGAAGGCGGCUCUCUGGACUGUAACUGACGCUGAGGCACGAAAGCGUGGGGAGCAAACAGGAUUAGAUACCCCCGUA